CCUGCCCAGUGCCAGGCCCCUGGCUGGGCGUCUCUGCUGCACCACUCAGCAAGGAGCUGUGAGCUUCCCUUACAAUUCCAAGUUCUCACUACCAAAGGGCCCGAAGCAGCCACAACAAACAAGUGUGGGCACCUUUCUAAGAGGAUCUCCUGCUCCAACUGGGCCUCAUCCAACUGGUGUUCAUCCAAGCAUUCCCACCCAAGGUUACUUACGCUAAAGGAGGAAGAUCGUUCUCAUAUCCAGUUCUUGGGGGAAAGAAUUGUUGAUGUAGCCAGAACCCAAAAAGAAGAAAGAUUACUUGGCAACAGCUAAAGGUUCUGUGUUCACAUCUGAGGGAGACCAAGACUCAGGCC